CCUACGGGUGGCAGCAGUGAGGAAUAUUGGUCAAUGGACGAGAGUCUGAACCAGCCAAGUAGCGUGAAGGAUGACUGCCCUACGGGUUGUAAACUUCUUUUAUAAGGGAAUAAAGUGAUCCACGUGUGGGAUUUUGUAUGUACCUUAUGAAUAAGGAUCGGCUAACUCCGUGCCAGCAGCCGCGGUAAUACGGAGGAUCCGAGCGUUAUCCGGAUUUAUUGGGUUUAAAGGGAGCGUAGGUGGAUUGUUAAGUCAGUUGUGAAAGUUUGCGGCUCAACCGUAAAAUUGCAGUUGAUACUGGCAGUCUGGAGUACAGUAGAGGUAGGCGGAAUUCGUGGUGUAGCGGUGAAAUGCUUAGAUAUCACGAAGAACUCCGAUUGCGAAGGCAGCUUACUGGACUGCAACUGACACUGAUGCUCGAAAGUGUGGGUAUCAAACAGGAUUAGAUACCCGGGUAGUC
rnacentral:rRNA from 1 species